rnacentral:lncRNA from 1 species
UACUCAAACAUAUGGGUUCCUCACAUUUAUAUUGUCAACGAUAAAUUGCACAAAGGAAUAUAUUUUUCAUAGCAUUUACACACUACAAUAAAGCUAACAAAAUUGGAUUUACAUUUAGAACAAAAUAUGAGGCACAUAUUCAAUUUAAAUCAUUUUAAAUAAAUCUGCAUACAAAAGUACUUCAAACAUGAACUUUCAUAUUUUUAACAUGUGUAUCUAGACAAGAGGAACACAACAAAAAAUUUCACUAAUUUAGAACAAAUAUUUUUUAUGAUAUGAUUUUUUGAAUCAUUUAAAUAAUUUCUAAAAAUAUAUAUAAUAAAAACUUUAAAUAAACUAAGAAUACAUUUAUACAGGCGGCCCUCGAAGUGAACUGCCAGUACUAAUGCAUUAGUACUAGCGGCUAUCUUAUAUGCGGUUGACUCAAACAACCGCGUGUACUAAUGCCAAUGUAUAUAACCCUCGGUCUCCUCCGCUCGAAAUUUUUCUAAGUGUGGCGCCCUGUUCAUUCAAACUAAGCCGACACGCUGCUGAAAUUUUCCACCGCCGUCGUAGCCGUCAUCAACGCCGUUGCUGCCGUCCUCGACGCCGCGCGUCCCACGGUGAGCCUCUCCUCCGCCCUCGACGCCGACGCCGCCCCGUGGUGAGCCUCUCCUCGCUCUCUCUCUCCCUACGCAUUCUCGACAUGGCGGCGGCUGUGGUGGGGCGCGGUGAUGGCGCUGCACCGGACAGGGAAGGAGGGCGGCCGCGGUAGUGGUGGUGGAAGGGGAAGGGGCAGCCACGGUGGCGGUGGUGGAAGAGGAAGGGGCUGGUGCGGUGUGCGGUGGUGGUGGUGGUGGAAGGGGCGGUGCGGUGGCGGCGGCGGCUGGAGGUAGGGGACGACCCCGACCGGUCGGGCCCACCUGCCAGAGAGAGGGAGAGAAGGGAGAGGGAGUGACUGGCCUGCUGGGCCUAUUGGGCUGGGAAUUUUUUUACUUUAACAAUUUAUUUUUUAUGAAAAAUUGAAUAAAACUAUAAAAAAC